UUAUGGAUAACCGUGAUGUCCGGGCAAGCUUUGGCGCACCUCGACUAAUUCCAACAUUUUGUAAGAUUGAUUUGGCCUUUUAUGCUGGUGCCCUGGGAAAAUUCUUACAAUCCCAUCUUUGAAGCUCUAACUCAAUUAGGAACAGCAACAAUUACAACAAAAAAUAUAGACUGAAGGACGAUAGAAAUGUCUCAUAGGAAGUUUGAGCCCCCAAGACAUGGAUCUUUGGGCUUUCUGCCCAGAAAGAGAGUUGCUCAACACAGGGGAAAGGUGAAGGCACCCUCUACCAAGAACUGGUGCAAGUCCAAGAAGUAGGCCUUUAUGAAGUACUCCAAGAAAUAUGAGACUGAUGAAGGGAAAAAAAGAUAUCCAGGCACAGUGGGGAAAUGUUAUAUGCUUUGCUGACAUGCAUGGGAAAAUAUGCUUGAUAUUGGUUUGGUUCUCCAUUGGUAAGUUCUAUGCUUUUCCCUCUAGAGUGUUCUUUUCUUUGAAUCUCUCAAAUAGCAUUACGUAUACUUCAAAAUUGGACCCGCAAUAUAUCUAUUGUUAAUAAACUAAUUAGUUUCAUUUCAAUGGGAUCAUCGAUGAAAAUCCAAUUUCUGAUUUGGGGUUUCUUACUUGUGGUAAUGAAUUUCGAUAAUCUUUUGUGGUGUUCUUUUAUGUCCGAGACUUGAGUCUUUAAUGAUAAUCGUACCCUGUUAGAGAACAAUAAUAUGAUUUCUAUUUAUAUGACAUGCUACAAUCAGUCCUUUCGCGAGA